rnacentral:rRNA from 1 species
UUAGGGAUCUUGCGCAAUGGCCGGAAGGCUGACGCAGCGACGCCGCGUGGGGGAGGACGGCCCUCGGGUUGUAAACCCCUUUUCCCGGGGACGAGGACGGACGGUACCCGGGGAAGAAGCACCGGCUAACCCCGUGCCAGCAGCCGCGGUAAUACGGGGGGUGCGAGCGUUGUCCGGAUUCACUGGGCGUAAAGGGCGCGUAGGCGGCCGGAUCAGUCGGGUUUUUAAGCGCGGGGCUCACCCCCGUUGAUGGGCCCGGGACGGUCCGGCUGGGGCGCGGUCGAGGGAUGCGGAAUGCCGGGUGUAGUGGUGAAAUGCGUAGAGAUCCGGCGGAACACCGGUGGCGGAGGCGGCAUCCUGGGCCGAGGCCGACGCUGAGGCGCGAGAGCGUGGGGAGCGAACCGGAUUAGAUACCCGCGUAGUCC